CGGACCCAAAACAUGAACUUCUGCUUUGCGAUGCCAGAACAGUAGGUGGCGGUAUGUACCUACACUUUCUGACGGCAAAAUUUACAGAAGAAGAAGAACUCAAUCGACGUCGUUACAGGAGCACACACCUUCCAAUGCGCAUUUGUACAGCGAAACAACGGUAAGGAAAAUAUUAUUUUGGUCUCAGAGACAAUGCGCAUUGUACAGCGAAACAACGGUAAGGAAAAUAUUAUUUUAAUCACCGUUUGACGAGUAUGGCAUGGUCUCAGAGAUUGCAUUCGUGCUAUUUACAACGGCGAAGAACUUGUUUCAUGCGUGUGGAAUUUAGUUUUCUUUUCCUGUCGGCUCUGCGCUGCGGUGGAUUUGAAAAAUUUGCGGCCUCUUAAUGUCUGUGUUUAUGCGCGUGUGUUUUCGCCACGUGAGUGUAUUCUUUUCUUUUCUUCCAGAUGCAUAUUUCCGUUGUGAGCGAGGGAAAAUUGAUGAUAUUGUUAAGAGGUUGUUCUUAUUCAUUUGGAAAGCUCAAGAACAACAAUUAACCCAUACUGCAUAACUUCAAUUGUUCACAUUAUUUGCCUGUUUUUCAGCUUUUGAUCAAAGCACUGAAGGAGCAUGGCAUCAACCGGUUCAGAGCAGAGCUGAUGAUGGCCGGUGGCAACGCGUUUUAAGCCCCCCACCACACCGACGGCAGUGCUGAAUUUUGUAUAUAUAUAUAUUUUUUUUUACUGUUCACAAUUUUGUUUGGAAAAAAUUAAAGAAAUCUUCAAAGCAGUUGUAUGACAAUUUCCCAUUUCUUUACACAGUCUGUAAUGAUAUCGCUAUUCAAUUGUUUUUGC